rnacentral:rRNA from 1 species
CCUACGGGAGGCUGCAGUGGGGAAUAUUGGACAAUGGGCGAAAGCCUGAUCCAGCCAUGCCGCGUGUGUGAAGAAGGCCUUCGGGUUGUAAAGCACUUUCAGUGGGGAAGAAAGCCUUGGGGCUAAUACCCUCGAGGAAGGACAUCACCCACAGAAGAAGCACCGGCUAACUCCGUGCCAGCAGCCGCGGUAAUACGGAGGGUGCGAGCGUUAAUCGGAAUUACUGGGCGUAAAGCGCGCGUAGGCGGUCUGAUAAGCCGGUUGUGAAAGCCCCGGGCUCAACCUGGGAACGGCAUCCGGAACUGUCAGGCUAGAGUGCAGGAGAGGAAGGUAGAAUUCCCGGUGUAGCGGUGAAAUGCGUAGAGAUCGGGAGGAAUACCAGGGGCGAAGGCGGCCUUCUGGACUGACACUGACGCUGAGGUGCGAAAGCGUGGGUAGCAAACAGGAUUAGAUACCCUAGUAGUC